rnacentral:rRNA from 1 species
CUACGGGGGGCACCAGUGGGGAAUAUUGGACAAUGGGGGAAACCCUGAUCCAGCAAUGCCGCGUGUGUGAAGAAGGCCUGCGGGUUGUAAAGCACUUUCGGUUGGGAGGACUGCUUCUAGCACUAAUAUUGUUGGAAGUUGACGUUACCUUCAGAAGAAGCACCGGCUAACUCCGUGCCAGCAGCCGCGGUGAAUACGGAGGGUGCAAGCGUUAAUCGGAAGUACUGGGCGUAAAGCGCGCGUAGGCGGCUAGAUCAGUCGGGUGUGAAAGCCCCGGGCUUAACCUGGGAACUGCAUCCGAUACUGUCUAGCUUGAGUACAGGAGAGGAGAGUGGAAUUCCACAUGUAGCGGUGAAAUGCGUAGAUAUGUGGAGGAAAACCAAUGGCGAAGGCAGCUCUCUGGCCUGAUACUGACGCUGAGGUGCGAAAGCGUGGGGAGCAAACAGGAUUAGAUACCCCAGUAGUC